UUUCUUGACCUUGUAAGACC
rnacentral:snRNA from 1 species